UUUCCUACGGGGGGCAGCAGUGGGGAAUAUUGCACAAUGGGGGAAACCCUGAUGCAGCAACGCCGCGUGGGUGAAGGAGCGUUUCGGCGCGUAAAGCCCUGUCAGCGGGGAAGAAGAAAGACGGUACCCGACCAAGAAGCCCCGGCUAACUACGUGCCAGCAGCCGCGGUAAUACGUAGGGGGCGAGCGUUAUCCGGAAUUACUGGGUGUAAAGGGAGCGUAGACGGCGCGGCAAGUCUGAAGUGAAAGGCAGGGGCUUAACCCCUGAACUGCUUUGGAAACUGCCAUGCUAGAGUGCUGGAGAG
rnacentral:rRNA from 1 species